rnacentral:rRNA from 3 species
UACGAAGGGGGCUAGCGUUGCUCGGAAUUACUGGGCGUAAAGGGCGCGUAGGCGGAUAUUUAAGUUGGGGGUGAAAUCCCGGGGCUCAACCUCGGAAUUGCCUUCAAAACUGGAUAUCUUGAGUUCGGGAGAGGUGAGUGGAACUCCGAGUGUAGAGGUGAAAUUCGUAGAUAUUCGGAAGAACACCAGUGGCGAAGGCGACUCACUGGCCCGAUACUGACGCUGAGGCGCGAAAGCGUGGGGAGCAAACAGG